GCUCCUCCCAGCACCCCUCCCCCGGGCCCUGGCGGGGUGAGAAACCGAGAUGGUGGCAGCAGAAACUGGAGCCCCGGCGCCGGGCGGCCGCGAGGGGCCGAGGCUUUUGGGGGCUCUGCUGCCUCUUGCCAAGGUCAAUCAAAGCGUCCCGCGCUCGGGAGGCGCGCCGCGUGCGCCCGCGAGCAGGCGGCGAGGGGCCAGAGAGUGGAAAGGAAGACGCUCUGGAGAGCCGGGAACUUCCGGAAGCACCAGAUCCCUGGCAACCGACGACCCGGCUCCGCUGCUCACCCCUUGCCAGGCCUCGGGGAAGUUAUGUGAAGACGUUACUGGGCUUCAGUUUUCUCCUCUGAGAAAGAGAGAACGCGCGUCAAGUUUCUUCCUAAGCUCAGUCAGUAUGUCAGCUAAGAGAUGGAAGUCAGCCCUGAAGAUGGAUUGGGAACCGGGUGCAGAAGGUGCGAACAGGGUAUAUGACAGUGUGGCCAUGCUGUGAAGCUGUUUCUGUCUCCAAUGGGAGCAAGAACAACUUGUGACCAGAAUAUGUGCAUACUUGGAAACGGUAUAGCUUGAGUUCAGAGAGGCUGAGGUGCUCACCCAAGAGCACACAGCUCAUGCCAGGUGCCUACACAUAUACACAGUGAUACAUGGCUUUAAGAGGCAAAGUCAGAGUGAAGACAUAGGGUCAGGAUGCAGUGUGGGGUGGGCGAAGCGUCUGAGGAAAGGCAACCCCUUCCUGCCCCUCCCAGAUGACUUCCCAGGGCUGGUUUUUGUGUUUUGGUGCCAUGGCAACUGGCUGUGAUAUCUGCAUGUGGAACGUGAAGCAUAACCUUAGGACACUGAGGCUAGCUUGAUGGGCCUAGAAGAUAACACACUCAUGACCUACUAGCCUCCCAGCCUUGCUCCAGCCUGGUGAUGCUGCCCAGGCAAGUCCUCAGUUGUUGAGAUGCCUUUCUCUGUUCACACUUACUGCCUAUCCAAUCAGUUGAGCUCACCUGUUUGGCAGUACUCGCUUUGAUCCUGGAAUGCUCUGCUGUCUUAUGUUUGUCUAAAUCCACCUGCCAUCUCUCAUGGCUGAGUUCCUAUCUCACCUCCACCUGGAAGACUUCUCUGAUUUCCCUAGUCCACAGAGCCUUUUUUUCCUUCUGAAUUUGUCUAGCAGUUACUGUACUCUGUACCAUUCAUGUUAUGAUAUUUGGACUUUGUUCUAAUGUAAUUCAACAAGUUCCUAAUAUGUGCAAGACACUGUGCUAAGUGCUGAAUGCUCAUGUGGGUAUUGUGGGGCCCAGUCUACUCCAUGCUCAUUAGACUUUAGAAGGGAGCAUCAGACCAUCUAGCAGCUCUGGCUUUAUGACAAGGAGAGGCCCCCAUCAGCUCCCAAACUAGGCAGGACAGAGGAUACAAGUUGCAGUUUAUUAGAGCCUUGCAUAUGAGUCCAGACAGUCCACUGGGUCUCCUUUUUCUUUACCUCACAGGCUUGUUCUGAGGACAAAUGAGCUAAUACAUGUAAAGUACCUAACACAGUGAUAGACAUGUUAGUUCUCUGCCUCUCUCUCCACAUCAACCCCAUAUCCUGUACUCAUGAAUCUACCUGAUUGGAGAAAAUGUGUUCUUCUUCUCGGGACUCUUCAAAGAACUCACUGUCCUGGGUUGCAGAGCUAAAUGAAGCAGAGGGUGCCCACUGGGAGCUCACAUCUAGUGCUUUCACACACUGGCUCUCAUUUAAUCCUCCAUGAGCUCUGGGACAGGAAAUAAUAUUCCAAUGUUGAGGAGGACAGAAGCCAGGACUUGGAGAGGCUGACCCACCGCAGAUCACAGAGCUCGUAAGCACUGGAGCUGGCCUCAGAAUCAAGAUGUGAGGUGCAAGAGAGGUCCGAAGCAGGCAGAGAGAGUACUUGUGAAGGUAUCAGUUCUGCCCAAAGAAUUCUAUAAACUCAACAUAAUGGCUGUCAAAGUUGUAAUAGGAUUUGUGCGUGUGUGUGUAUGUGGAAUUUAACAAGCUGAUUCUAAAACUAAUCUAGGAGAAUAACUGUGCUGGAAUAGUCAAGACGUAUUUGAAAAAGAAGUACAGUGAGGGAGAACGUGCCCCACCAGAUAACAGAGCAUCACUGAGCUGUGCUGAUUAGAAGGGAGGUGUGCUGGUGUGGGACAAGGUGUCCAUUGAUGCCGUAGCACAGAGUGUAAAGGGUUCGUAUAAAGAGUUUGGUGUAGGAUAAGGUGGCAUUUAAAAGCAGUAGGGAAAGAACGAACUCUUCAAUCAAUACUGUAGAGACAGUUGGCUAUUCGUGUGAAAAAACCCCCAUAAAGUUGAUUCCUGCUUCACAGCAUUCACUAAAUAAAUUCCAGAUGGAUUAGAGAGCUAAACAUAAAACACACACACACACAGCUAUAAAACUAUUAAAAGAAAAUACAGAAGAAUUUGUUUAUAACCCUGGGGUAGGAAAGGCUUU